rnacentral:sRNA from 1 species
GCUGGGGGCCCCUCAGCCAUUGGUCAGGGGGCUGAGACAGGAGGAUCGCUUGACUCCAGGAGUUCAGGGCUGUAGUGCGCCAUGCCGAUCGGGUGUCCGCACUAAGUUCGGCAUCAAUAUGGUGACCUCCCGGGAGCGGGGGACCACCAGGUUGCCUAAGGAGGGGUGAACUGGCCCAGGUCAGAAACGGAGCAGGUCAAAACUCCCGUGCUGAUCAGUGGUCCUUUGUCAUUUCUUAAGAUACUGAUUAGUGAAGAUUUUGGUUUCA